ACUACUAACCCGCAUCUUCUGAAUGCAACUCAAACACUUUAAUUAAGCUAAGGCCUUGAAUGGGCGGGCCU
rnacentral:tRNA from 1 species